AGUCUUCGUGAAACAUCCUUAUCCAAUUACAAUUGAAAUUGUGUCUAUAUAGUAACUGAGAAUUGUGUUCCUCUACUUUAUGGUCCUGGCCCAGAUGGAGGACCGUUGAUCCUGGCAGUCCCCAGCAGUCGCUACAUGGUCCAAAACGUGUCAAGAACCUUCGCGUCUACGAGUUUUCUUCAACGAAGAUGGCAAUCCGGGCAAUAUCCUACAACAUUUCCACGGUCCAGAAUGUCUGUCAAUAAUGUCAUCUAUGUACAUGGGCAUCUUACCAAAGAAAGCGGCCAUCAAGGACGAAUAUGACCUCGGAAGUCCUGCAGUCCCGCAGAUCUGAAGGACAAACUGAAAAAUGCAGGCG